rnacentral:rRNA from 1 species
CCCGCUGAACUUAAGCAUAUCAAUAAGCGGAGGAAAAGAAACCAACAGGGAUUACCUCAGUAACGGCGAGUGAAGCGGUAACAGCCCAAAUUUGAAAUCUGGCUCUUUCAGGGUCCGAGUUGUAAUUUGUAGAAGAUGCUUCGGGUGUGGCUCCGGUCUAAGUUCCUUGGAACAGGACGUCAUAGAGGGUGAGAAUCCCGUAUGUGACUGGCUGCCUCCGCCCAUGUGAAGCUCUUUCGACGAGUCGAGUUGUUUGGGAAUGCAGCUCAAAAUGGGUGGUAAGUUUCAUCUAAAGCUAAAUAUUGGCCAGAGACCGAUAGCGCACAAGUAGAGUGAUCGAAAGAUGAAAAGCACUUUGGAAAGAGAGUUAAACAGUACGUGAAAUUGUUGAAAGGGAAGCGCUUGCAAUCAGACUUGCGCGCUGCCGAUCAUCCGGGGUUCUCUCCGGUGCACUCGGUAGUGCUCAGGCCAGCAUCGGUUUAGGUGGUUGGAUAAAGGCCUUGGGAAUGUAGCUUCUCUCGGGGAGUGUUAUAGCCCUCGGUGCAAUGCAGCCUACCUGGACCGAGGACCGCGCUUCGGCUAGGAUGCUGGCGUAAUGGUUGUAAGCGACCCGUCUUGAAACACGG